UACGUAGGCAGCAAGCGUUGUUCGGAGUUACUGGGCGUAAAGAGUGCGUAGGCGGUCCUGUAAGUUUGGUGUGAAAUCUCCCGGCUCAACUGGGAGGGUGCGCCGAAGACUGCAGGGCUUGAGUAUGGGGAGAGGUAAGCGGAAUUCCUGGUGUAGCGGUGAAAUGCGUAGAUAUCAGGAGGAACACCUGUGGUGUAGACAGCUUACUGGACCAUAACUGACGCUGAGGCACGAAAGCGUGGGUAGCAAACAGG
rnacentral:rRNA from 1 species